GGAGAGAUGCCAGAGUGGUCGAUUGGGGCGGUCUCGAAAACCGUUGACCCGCUUGCGGGUCCCAGGGUUCGAAUCCCUGUCUCUCCG
rnacentral:tRNA from 1 species